rnacentral:tRNA from 1 species
GCGGGAGUGGCGGAACUGGCAGACGCGCUGGAUUUAGGAUCCAGUGGGAAACCGUGCAGGUUCAAGUCCUGUCUCCCGCACCA